CCUACGGGUGGCUGCAGUAAGGAAUAUUGGUCAAUGGAGGAAACUCUGAACCAGCCAUCCCGCGUGAAGGAUGAAGGGGCUCUGCCUUGUAAACUUCUUUUGUCUGGGGCGAAAAAGCUCGAUUUAUCGAGAACUGACGGUACCAGAAGAAUAAGCACCGGCUAACUCCGUGCCAGCAGCCGCGGUACUACGGAGGGUGCAGGCGUUAUCCGGAAUCACUGGGUUUAAGGGGGGCGAGGAAGUCAGAGUAGAACGGCUGUGGCUUAACCAUGGAAUUGCUAUUGAUACUGCAGAGCUUGAAUGAGGUUGAGGUUGGCGGAAUGUGACAUGUAGCGGUGAAAUGCUUAGAUAUGUCAUGGAACACCGAUUGCGAAGGCAGCUGACUGGACCUAGAUUGACGCUGAGGCACGAAAGCGUGGGGAGCGAACAGGAUUAGAUACCCGGGUAGUC
rnacentral:rRNA from 1 species